GGGGCCUUCGGGCCUUAGUAGCGCAGCUAACGCGUGAAGUUGACCGCCUGGGGAGUACGGUCGCAAGAUUAAAACUCAAAGGAAUUGACGGGGACCCGCACAAGCGGUGGAUGAUGUGGAUUAAUUCGAUGCAACGCGAAAAACCUUACCUACCCUUGACAUGUCUGGAAUCCCGAAGAGAUUUGGGAGUGCUCGCAAGAGAACUGGAACACAGGUGCUGCAUGGCUGUCGUCAGCUCGUGUCGUGAGAUGUUGGGUUAAGUCCCGCAACGAGCGCAACCCUUGUCAUUAGUUGCUACGAAAGGGCACUCUAAUGAGACUGCCGGUGACAAACCGGAGGAAGGUGGGGAUGACGUCAAGUCCUCAUGGCCCUUAUGGGUAGGGCUUCACACGUCAUACAAUGGUCGGGACAGAGGGUCGCCAACCCGCGAGGGGGAGCCAAUCCCAGAAACCCGAUCGUAGUCCGGAUCGUAGUCUGCAACUCGACUACGUGAAGUCGGAAUCGCUAGUAAUCGCGGAUCAGCAUGUCGCGGUGAAUACGUUCCCGGGUCUUGUACACACCGCCCGUCACACCAUGGGAGUGGGUUUCACCAGAAGUAGUUAGCCUAACCGCAAGGGGGGCGAUUACCACGGUGGGGUUCAUGAUCUGGGGUGAAGUCGUAACAAGUACC
rnacentral:rRNA from 1 species